rnacentral:rRNA from 1 species
GAGUUUGAUCAUGGCUCAAAACGCACGCUGGCGGCGCGCCUAACACAUGCAAGUCGAACGAAGUAGCAAUACUUAGUGGCAGACGGGUGAGUAACAUGUAGGUAUCUACCCUUUGGCCUGGAAUAACACGAGGAAACUUGUGCUAAUACCGGAUAAGCCUUUACGGAAAAAGCUUUAUGCACCAUUGGAUGAGCCUGCACUUGAUUAGUUUGUUGGUGGGGUAAUGGCCUACCAAGACUGUGAUCAAUAGCUGAUUUGAGAGGAUGAUCAGCCACAUUGGGACUGAGACACGGCCCAAACUCCUACGGGAGGCAGCAGUGGGGAAUCUUGCACAAUGGAGGAAACUCUGAUGCAGCGAUGCCGCGUGAGUGAAGAAGGCCUUUGGGUUGUAAAGCUCUUUCGUCGGGGAAGAAAAUGACUGUACCCGAAUAAGAAGGUCCGGCUAACUUCGUGCCAGCAGCCGCGGUAAUACGAAGGGACCUAGCGUAGUUCGGAAUUACUGGGCUUAAAGAGUUCGUAGGUGGUUGAAAAAGUUGGUGGUGAAAUCCCAAAGCUUAACUCUGGAACUGCCAUCAAAACUUUUCAGCUAGAGUAUGAUAGAGGAAAGCAGAGUUUCUAGUGUAGAGGUGAAAUUCGUAGAUAUUAGAAAGAAUACCAAUUGCGAAGGCAGCUUUCUGGAUCAUUACUGACACUGAGGAACGAAAGCAUGGGUAGCGAAGAGGACUAGAUACCCUCGUAGUCCAUGCCGUAAACGAUGUGUGUUAGACGUUGGAAAUUUAUUUUCAGUGUCGCAGCGAAAGCGAUAAACACACCGCCUGGGGAGUACGACCGCAAGGUUAAAACUCAAAUGAAUUGACGGGGACCCGCACAAGUAGUGGAGCAUGUGGUUUAAUUCGAAGAUACGCGCAGAACCUUACCAACACUUGACAUGUUCGUCGCGACUCUAAGAGAUUAGAGUUUUCGGUUCGGCCGGACGAAACACAGGUGCUGCAUGGCUGUCGUCAGCUCGUGUCGUGAGAUGUUGGGUUAAGUCCCGCAACGAGCGCAACCCUCACUUUUAGUUGCCAUCAUUAAGUUGGGCACUCUGAAAGAACUGCCAGUGAUAAGCUGGAGGAAGGUGGGGAUGACGUCAAGUCCUCAUGGCCCUUACGUGUUGGGCUACACACGUGCUACAAUGGUAUCUACAACAGGAAGCAAGACGGCGACGUCAAGCAAAUCCUUAAAAGAUACCUCAGUUCGGAUUGCACUCUGCAACUCGAGUGCAUGAAGCUGGAAUUACUAGUAAUCGUGGAUCAGCGUGCCACGGUGAAUGCGUUCCCGGGCCUUGUACACACCGCCCGUCACACCAUGGGAGUUGGUUCUACCUUAAGGCAAGGCUUUAAACCCUUGACCACGGUAUAGUCAGCGACUGGGGUGAAGUCGUAACAAGGUAACC